rnacentral:rRNA from 1 species
UACGGGGGGGGUAAGCGUUGUUCGGAAUUACUGGGCGUAAAGGGCUCGUAGGCGGCCAACUAAGUCAGACGUGAAAUCCCUCAGCUUAACUGGGGAACUGCGUCUGAUACUGGAUGGCUUGAAUUCGGGAGAGGGAUGCAGAAUUCCAGGUGUAGCGGUGAAAUGCGUAGAUAUCUGGAGGAAUACCGGUGGCGAAGGCGGCAUCCUGGACCGACAUUGACGCUGAGGAGCGAAAGCCAGGGGAGCAAACGGG